rnacentral:lncRNA from 1 species
UAGGUUGGAAUUUGUAAUGGAAUUUAGUUGAAAGAAUAAUUGCCAGAAAGAAAUACCUGAAAACCACUGGUCUGUAAAAAUAAAGAAGAUUCUCAGUAUGCUGAUUAAAUAGUACCUGAGCUACUGUGUUAUAAUCUGAAUGCCAUACUUCAUGGAAUGUAUCCAGCGGAGAGUCGUCUCACCUAAUUCUAAGGAAAUCUGAAUUGCAUUAUAUAAGAG